GUAUUACGUUUUCAACUCAGUAAAUUACGUGACUGUGUUCAGUUUGGUCCCAAGUUUUGUCGAUUCAA
rnacentral:tRNA from 1 species